UACGGAGGGUGCGAGCGUUGUCCGGAAUUACUGGGCGUAAAGGGCUCGUAGGCGGCCAACUAAGUCAGACGUGAAAUCCCUCGGCUUAACCGGGGAACUGCAUCUGAUACUGGAUGGCUUGAGUUCGGGAGAGGGAUGCGGAAUUCCAGGUGUAGCGGUGAAAUGCGUAGAUAUCUGGAGGAACACCGGUGGCGAAGGCGGCAUCCUGGACCGACACUGACGCUGAGGAGCGAAAGCCAGGGGAGCAAACGGG
rnacentral:rRNA from 1 species